GCAAUUAACAAUUUGUUUUUAGAAUUCAUCAAUACAUAUCGUAUCAGUUGCUGCCUGAGAUUUUUGCUUUAGGCAAAAGCAAACUUUUCGAUUCAUCAGGGAAUAACGAAAUCCUAAUCAAUCAAAGAGUUUCUCUUCGGAAAAGAAUCUCUUGUUUGUUACGCUUGCAUCAUCGUUAAUUUCCUCUUGAAAAAGAAAUCACUAUAUAUAUUUAUAUAUUUGUUGUAGCGGUUGGCCAGUGAAUCUUUGUCGAUUUUGAAAAAUGCAGGGGACGAAACUUCCUUAGCCUUAUGACUUCUACUACAUACGCUAGGAAGGUGUUCUAUAUGCGCCAUCGGCCUCAAUGUUUGCUAACCUAUUUGCAAUUGUACAUGACAUUAAGAUGGAAUGGACAAUGAAUUUGGUGGUGUUAUAUUCCUUCUGACAUUGCAGUAAGAUCUAAUGGAACAGAGGACCGGAAGAGAAGGAUGGUCUACCAGUGCCUCCGGAGUGAUAAAGCAUAUUGGUGUUACGAGGUAGCAACUUAGUUGAAAAAUUAUCAAAUGACCAAACUUUUAAAACAAAAGUCAUAUAUUAUAUUCUCUUCGUGGAAGUGAUAGUGAAGUAAGUGACAUUUCAUAGAUCUGUCCUCCAGGUUCUUUUGUUUUGAAUAGUGAGGUAAGUGACAUUUCAUAGAUCUGUCCUCCAGGUUCUUUUGUUUUGAAUCUGCGAUCUGUUUUUAGCAGAACAUUUGUGUUUAAUUGCUCAUGUUAUCUGGGCAGAGUGGCUUGAUCAUUUAUGUUGAUUUUGUUUAAGAAUUUACUGUUUAUUUCUCUGCCCACUAUCUUAUAUAUAAUAGAACUAUUGCAAAUGAUAUUUGUUUUAGCUAGUGCAAAACUCUUUGAUCAAAAGGUUGUCCAUCCUUGUAAAUUGCAUCACUUCUAAAGAUGUAAUCAAACUUGAUUAUGUGCAAAGUGAGGACCAUGUAAAGCAAAUGAUUAGUGGGAGCUUUGUCUGUAUCAAGAAGUUAUUCAAUUCAAUAAGUUAUCAAAUUUCGAAGUUAAGCAAUUUAUCAUCUUAGGUCAUUUAGUCUCAUGCAUCUGAAAUGUCUCCUGUUUGCUCUUGUUGGGAGUUGAUUGUCUACAACGCCCAACGCAUGUUUUUAAAAAAAAUAAGAAUUUUUUUUUUUUGCAUAAUGCAUUUAUUGUUCUUGAUACAGUUAUUAUGAGACAUUAAAAGGAUUUGGUUUGUAUAUGAUCAAAAUAUUAGUUCUUGAGGGCUAUGAGUAUGAUGUAUAUAGCCUUUCAAAUAUCUUUGGAUAUAAGAAGCACUAUCACGUAUUCAGAGAAGGUUAUAGAAACACUGGUUUUUAAUGAAAGCAUCUCUAGUAAACCAUUUAAUCAUGAGAAUUGGAGUUUUGCAAGUGUAGUAGUAGUUCUAUUAGAGGAAAUCCAUUUAGGCACCACAAUGGGGUUUGGGUUGAAUCUUGUCCACUCAAUGUAACUCCAUAUCUUAUGGAAAGUGCUCCCCUCUUGUGCCAAUAGUUGAGCAGCUUCACAAUGACUCUGCAAUUACAACAGUUCUGAUCUUCACUCUUCUCCCAUUAAGAGUUUGAUCUAUUGCAUCUAGUUCUUUACAUUCUACUGUCACAGGCUCUUUUACUCCAGUGCAGUGUUCCACGUCCCAUGAUACACUAUCCUGCUCGUUGCUAAAUGCACCAACGUCACAUGCUGCAUAUGCAUCACUAACAGUGUCUUCAUUUCCUUCAUCUUCUGAGGACACAAACAUCUGUGAAUCUCAACCCUGUUGGCAACCCUUCAUCUGUUCUUCCCAUCUCUAUUCCUUGUUGGGCUUGUUCUUCAGGUUCAUUGCAAACACAUCUCCAAGUCUGGUAACUCCAGGUCAUCUAGCACUGGCCAGAGAGAAUGUACUGUCUUCAACAAUGAAUACAUAUCUUGAUCAUAAGGACACAACUGCCUUUGCAUCUGUGAAUUCUACUCUAGCAACUCAACCUUCGUUGUUGCCAUUUCCAAUUCAUGAACAACAGGUCUCAUCAUUUCUUCUGUUUACCAAGAGUUUUAUCUGUCCUUUGUUGAAUCUGAAAGUUUAUGCUUGUAAUUAGCCAUGCAUAAAUAUUAUUGUCUGUAUUUGUACUGCUUUGACAAGUAAUCAUAUUGAAUCUUUGUACAAAAAGUUUUUCUAACCUGUGCCUUCGGCUGUUUUAUUAUUUAGGUAAAUGAUAAAUAUGGAGUUCUAGACACUGCUUAAAAUUCAUUUGUGUAAAUAGUAUUAGGCAGCUUGAGAUAUUACAAAAAGUUACUAGUUACAUAAGAUUGUUUAGCAGUCUACCCUCCACCACGGUUUACUGAAGAAUUUGACUUUGAAGCCAUGGAUGAGAAGUUCAAAAGGGAUGAAAGUGGGGCUACCUUGGGAAAGCAAACCAAAAGGAUAAAGCAGGACGCAUAAAGAAUCACGUGUCAGAUCAGAGCCUGCUUACGGAAGGAUGACUUCUUUGACACAAUUUCUUGCAAUUCUCACUCAUGUGCUGCAAGAAUCGUUUCUGUGAGAGAAUGCAGUUAGAUAGUGAGGACUUUUGGCGACUUCCAACUUAGGUGUCAUGCAGUUAUGGACCUCUUAGAGGCUAUGUUAAGGACUUGGUCAGAACUUGAGGGUCUCAUAUAACUGGAGCAGCCGAUACGGCUAUGGUAGGAGGGGCCGUGGGCACAUGUAUUUCUAAUACUUUCAGCAUUCUGUUUUAUGCCAUGGCUGCUAGAGACAUUGCCAUCUAUCUUCUCAGUUUACAUCAUCAGCCUUUGGCAAAUUGAAAAAAAAAUCUCGAGGAUUUAGGCAAAUCUCAUCUACAAUAAGAGAUUGGAGUAAAUAGGAGAAAUGGGUUCAGAUUGUAAAAAUGAUUUUGGUGAAAACAUUCUUUUAACAUGUAAAACGUAGCAGCUAACUUUUAUUUGAAUGUUAGGAGAAAUGGGAAUAUCAUUGAUGAACAAUAGGAAAGGGCAUCAUAAUAAGAAGAAUUUUGAUAUAGUCAUGAUGAAGACCUCUAUGGACUGUGGAAGUAUUUUUCUGAGCAUGGUGGAAUAGUACCAAAUGUAACUGAGUCCCUUUGAUAAUCUAUUUGGAUAAAUAGACAUAUUGAUCAAACAUUGUUGUGGUUUGGGCUCAAGGAGUGCUGCAUCCAAAUUUAUACGAGGCCUUAAUUUGCUUUGUAUAUAGUACAUAAAUUGUAUGUAUAUAACUACAAUGAUUUGGGAAUACAAGUGGUGAAACAAGGAAAAAGGGCAUAAGGAAAAUUUUUUGCAAGCUAGGAAUUAAAAUGACAUCGUUGUCGCUGUGGGGGGGAUGGACCAUCCAGAUCGACCAACAACCAACUUUACAGAAGAACCACCACUUUCAUUCUGAACCUAUUUUAUUAUUCCUUUCCUUAGGGAACGGAUCAAAGAAAUGGAGUAGGUAGCUGUAUAUGGUAAGAUAUCGCUUUGGGGCGCCUUCCUCGUUGGCUCUUGUUCAUUCGUUUAUUUGAUUUUUAUCCGAUGGGGGGGGGGGGGGGCUACCGGCUUCUGCUCCGUCACUUGUGAUCUUGGUGGACUUGAAUGCAUUAAUUUCACACUUGAUCUUAUACAUACAUACCUGACUGUCGUUUGUUUAAAAAAUUCAACACGCCAUCAUACCUCCAAUCAAGGUGAAGACGGCAAGUAGACUUAAGACCCCGGAGCUCAAGUACACUCCGUCUCUAACUAGGUAACAUUCACCGUCCAACCAUCCUUCUCCGUAGGGUUGUGCUCUGCUCAUGCUCGUCGCUGCACUUAUUAGGAUUGCUGCAACUCCAAAGCUGAUCCUGCAAUAUUUCUUUCUUUUUAAUAUAAGAUUCUAUUCCAAGUUUUUUAAAAAAUUUUAAUUAAAAAGAAAAGAAAAGCAAAGACAAUCCAUGUUCCUCCAAAUCCAUAUCCAAAUGUAAUUAAUUAUUAUUUUAUUUUAUUUAGUAGCACUAGACACCAA